rnacentral:lncRNA from 1 species
GCAGUUAAUUCCAGUAGAAGUAGUAGCAAGGGUUAACAUUGCAGUAGAAGUAAUAGCAGGGGUUAACAUCGCAAUAGAAGUAGUAGCAGGGGUUAACAUCCUAGUAGAAAUAGUAGCAGGGGUUAAUAUCCUAGUAGAAGUAGAAAUAGUAGCCGUGUCCAAACAUCUGUUUUUCAUCCAAUUCCUCUGUCAUAUAAUGACUUGCAUUAAGAAGAAAAUCAAAUUAGAAGUCGCUGCGCCCACAAAAAAAGGGUAAAAUAGACAAAUUACAUUCAAUCCCACCAAAAUUAGUAAAGUUAGGGGGUUGUGAUGGGUACGAGAUGUGUAUCGAUAUGGGGGAAAAAAUGGUCAUAAAAGUUAUUUUUUCAGAAUUUGACUUUCUUCUUGAUGCCACGUCAUCACUUGAUGGAGGAAUUGGACGGAGAACGAAAGUUUAGACACGGCUGAUGAAAAUUGAGAGUUGAGAGGUGUUUUUGAUGAAAUUGAAAGAAAAAAGACUAACAUGAUGAUCGACCUAAAAUUGAUGGGGGUAAACUGAAAUUAGUCCUUUUUUUUUAUACUCAUUUGCACACUACUAGCAACCAAGAAAACCACUUGCACAAAGAAAUCUGCCAUACUCUGAAACUAAAUAUGCACUCCAGUAGCUNNNNNNNNNNNNNNNNNNNNAAAUAUGCACUCCAGUAGCUUAAUACCAAUUUAUCUCCUCUCCAGUUUGAAUUAGAAUAGUAACAUAACAUCGCCUCAUCAUUUAAGCUCUUUUAGCAGCAAUAUAACUAUAAAUCAGUAAACAUUGCAAACUCACAGCAAUGAAGGAAGCGUCUCCCAAAAUGAACACAUCUCACACAAUCCAUGCAUUCAGACUCCAAUCCAUCCAUCAAGACAAUUCACCAGUCCAAAAAACAAGAUUAUAAAACUACUUCGUCACCUUCUUUUUUGGUUGACAGCAGACAAAAAUUUUUGAUAAAAAAGAAAAAGAAAAAAGAAAACUGAUGAUAUCGUCAUAACAGAAAAACCAGAGAGAAUCCACAAAUUAAGAGUACGUAGGGAUGCUCAAUCAGACAGACAAAUACCAAAGUUGCUAAGGAAUUUGAUGCUAGCUAAGUAAGGAUUAUGAGAAAUUGAUAACCCAUAGCACAAAUCGGAAGCAUAACCAUGAAAUUACUAUCUAGAUAUCAGGUAUUGAAAGCCUCAAAAUUCCAUCAGAAACAGAAGCUCAGAAAAAUUUACCCAGAAUACCCAUCGCACAUUCGAUGUCAAAUUACCAUCUACUGCUUCUAGUCCAAUCGAUGAGAAAACGAGAAGAGAUACGCCAACGACCAUAGAGUCCAAAGGAGACGACGAAGAUGACUGAACAAAGAGCAAAGUCGAGGCUCGGAAGCAAACUCAGAUGCAAACCCUAAGUCCCGAAUUCAGAAUUCCAAAUUCACUGUCAGAGUGUGACAAGAAGAGGAGAAAACGGCUGGGUAACUAUGAUGAACUCCAAUUUGAGUAUUUAUCCGCUUCGAAAUGAUAGUUUGGGCAUGAAACUUAGAGAUUUGAGGGUAGGGAUUUAGAAAAUCGGGGAAAUCAAAAAUUGAAAGCGAAAGAAACUGAUAACAGCGGUAGCUGAAGAUAGUUGAAAGCAUGAAGUCCACAGGAUCGAGAGCAGAGGCUCUGUUACCAUGCUAGAAAUCAUAGAUUUAUUGAAUAUAAAUGCUGAAAACAGUAAAGGAGAGGAAGAAGGUUAUGGAGGCUACAUUGUGACUAUCUUGAUUGAGAGAGAACGAGGUUACAACAAUAUAUGCUGCCG